rnacentral:lncRNA from 1 species
GUUGAAAUCAGUUAAGACUUUGGGAGACCGUUGGGAAGGCAUGAUUGGUUUUGAAAUGUGAAGAUAUGAGACUUGGGAGGGGCCAGGGGCAGAAUGAUAGAGUUUGGCUCUAUCCCCACCCAAAUCUCAUCUUGAGUUGUACUCCCGCAAUUCCCGUGUGUUGUGGGAGGGACGCGGUGGGAGAUAAUUGAAUCAUGGGGGUGGCUUCCCCCAUACUGUUCUCAGGGUAGUGAAUAAGUCACACAAGAUCUGAUGGUUUCAUAAGGGGGAGUUUCCUGCUGUCAUCCAUGUAAGACGUGACUUGCUCCUCCUUGCCUUCAUCAUGAUUGUGAGGCUUCUCCAGCAACGUGGAACUGCACAGCCCCUAAACCUGAGCCCCCUCCUCCUGGCUCCUCCCCACCAGGAAGUGACGGCAGCCCUGUGACUGUUAACCCGGAAAACUGCGAGAGGCUUUCCCAUGGAGGGGUCCUCACACCUGGGUUCACCCCUGCCGGAAGACACUGCUGCAUUGUGUGCAGCAGCUGCAAGGCCUGCGUGAUGGAAGGCGAGAGCCCCUGGCCGGCUGCCCUGGCCACAGGCCACGAUCAGCUGAGUGCCUUGAUGGCUCCAUAACGGCUUUCUCAAUGAGCAAGCUACUUUUCAUAACAACAACAAAGCAACGACGCCUUGAUGCCACAUUCAUGCCACCGCCCUCACCACUUGGCCCCCGCAGCCUCGGAAGCCUGCCCACCUGCAGGUGUGGUUUGCACAGGACGGCACAUCCCUCCUCGUCCUGGGUUUAAGCUUAAACACACAGAUGGAGAGACCAAGGAGCUGAGGCGCUAAGGAGAUGACCUAAGGUUGCAAAGUGAAAAGCAAGGCCAAGGAGGGGCUUCAUUUCAAAUACCAGAUGCGGGGCCGGCCCUCCAUCCACUCCUCGGAACGCGGCACUCCGCGGCCUCCCGGGUAGACGGUCUCCACCACUACUUGCUUCUGUUCAUCUCUGACGGCAGAGUUAAAUAAAAUUAAUACUAUUAUUGAAUGCCAAUUUUCAUGUUUAAUUUUAUGGCCAAAUGUGACAAUAAUAGUCAAGAGUUGGCACUAAAAAAAGGUGCUGUGAUUUUUGAAGAGUCUAUAAAAAAAUGGUGGUUUUUAAAAUACCAGAUCAUAUGAUUCAGUCUUUGAACAGCGGAUAGCCUCACCAGGGAAGUCACAAUGACAUUUAAAUACAAAUCAAGGAGUCGGAUCUCAGGAGGCUAGCCACAUAUAAUUCAACUGAACUUUCAUUGAGAGAUAGUUGUUAGUUAUAAGACUAGCUUUCCAAAUGUAUGUGGUACAUCAUAUGUGAAUCGAUUGCCUGUGCAGAACACCAGCCUAUGCUGUUUUGCAAAGAAGUACGAUGCCAAGUGAGAGGGAAGCAGUCAUCUUCCUGACUCGUCCAUCCUGAAUGAGAAGGGACUUUGAGCAGACAAGGAAACGGCGUGAACACGGACGUAUGGAUCACGCCCUGAGAGAGGAUCAUUUUAUCCUUCAGCCUCCUAGAUCAAUUAUGGUAAAAAAGAGAAAUCCUUCUUCAUUAUUAUUUUCUUUUUUUUUUUUUUUUUUUUUGUUGAGACGGAGUCUCGCUCUGUUGCCCAGGACGGAGUGCAGUGGCGCGAUCUCGGCUUACUGCAAGCUCCGCCUCCCAGGUUCAUGCCAUUCUCCAUUCUCCUGCCUCAGCCUCCCAAGUAGCUGGGACUACACGCGCCUGCCACCAUGCCAGGCUAAUUUUUUCUAUUUUUAGUAGAGACGGGGUUUCACUGUGUUAGCCCGGAUGGUCUCGAUCUCCUGACCUUGUGAUCUGCCUGCCUCGGCCUCCCAAAGUGCUGGGAUUACAGGCUUGAGCCACCGCACCCGGCCAUUAUUAUUUUCAAUUAAAGGGGAAAGAUAAGCUGUAUUUUGAAAGUCAAAGCUCUAGGUGAUCCAAUCAAAGCACCAUCGGAGAAUGCACCAACACCAAAGCAAUGGCGCCCCCGUCCCCCGGGCCUGCUGUGGGCCCACCCCGCUGCCAAGCAACAGGCUCGGUCGCCACCGCCUCCAUCUUCGCAGCAGCCCUGGGAGGGAGCAGAUUCUCCUGUUGCAGAAAAUAAGGUCGCUUGCCCAAGGCCACAGAGAUGGCAAAUGGGAGACGGAGAAGUCAAAGCCAGGCUGGCAGGAGCCAGGAACCUGUGGUAAGCGUUGACUGAAAGGGUCCACAGAGUCGUCCCCAUCGCCUGAACUCGGGCACACAUGCUGACAGGUGCUUGGAGAUAAUACUGCUCGUUGUUAACAAGCAGCCCAGCACUCCCACAGCCAGCUGUGGCCCAUGCAGUUAGGGGACUGAGAGCUCUGCCAGAGGUCCGUUCUGCAAAUAAACAAGCUGUGGCCUGGGGCCAGGCAGUCUGUGGUCCUGUUCUUUGCUCCAUGUAGGGCUAGAGAAAACACUCAAUGGGAGAAACUUGGGGAGGUGCAAGCAUGAGACAGAGCCUCGCACUCCUUCAAUCAUGGAAGUCUGUGAUUCGCAGGCAUCUUGUUUUCUGAAUCUUGAGCUCCUCACUGUAAAUUGGAGGUUGCGUGAGGCCCAUUAUUUCUUCAGUUUGGAUUCUGUGAGUUCAGAGAAGGCCAAGGGUUGGAAGUAGAGUGAGCAUCAGGAAACGGUGGCCUCUUGCUGCAGAGGUGGCUUCUCCGAAGAGGGAUGGUGUGCUCUGAGCACUCUGCUUCCUCGAUCUGUCAGCCUGGCUGGUCUCCCAGGGAGGGAACCUGCGAAGAGCCCCCGACCCUGCACUGGGAAAGCCCCAAAUACACAGCUUCUCAUUUUAUGCUUACGGAGAUCCUAUAUCACUACCCUCAGGUCACAGAGAGGUGCACUGAGUUCAUAUGAGUGGAAAUUACCCGCCAGUCACCAGAGCGUGAGCAAACCGGCCAGAGCGAGGGGCCCUCCCCGGCCCUCCCACCACGGAGCCGGCUCCCCUUGCCCUUUAGGACUCAGCCAGACACCGCCUUCCCCGAGCAGUGCUGUUCUCAGCGUGGAAGUGCCCGACAUCGGGAGCUUCUCCCUCCAUCCCAGCCAGCACUGCUGUGGGAAGCACAGCCCCUUCGCUUGCACUUCUCCGGAUCAAUGUUUAUUUUAGGACCUUUAAGUAUUGUUUUCUUCAGCGCAGAAAAUAGUGCUUAAUAAAAUGGAAUUCACCUAAUGCCACUGGCUGCCAGCUGCCCUCCCUCUCCAAACGGCAGAAGGCAGUGCAAGACCUGGGCUCCUCCUGCACCACGGGUCAUUUUAAAUUGAUUUCUUUCUGCAGAGGCCUCCUGAGGAAGCAGUUUUUCCAUCUUAACGGGACUGCUUGGCCCGCUGGGUCCAAACAGCCACAGGUCCAGCAAAAGCAGGGAGGAGCCGGUGCCCGGAGCUUCAUUCCCCACGGCCUCUGACACACAGCAUGCAGGGCCAGGUCUUGGAGUCAGUAGGCAGAGCUCAGGCGCCCACCACUGCUCUCGACUCCCCGAGGCUUUGGCGCCCGGGCUAGUGUCCCGGCUGCAGGGCUGCAUUCGGGAAGGGGUGCUGUGCCGAGGAAGGGCAUGGGCUUGCAGCAACACGGACUGGAGCGCAACCCUCUUCUCACCUGUUUGCUUUGUGACCGGAGGCAAGUCACUUGAGUGUCCCCAGGCCUUGGUUUUUGAUCCACAACGUGGAUCUCCUAUAUUGCAGGGCUAGUCGGGAUUUGGGAGAAUUGAUUUGAACCACUUGGCACAUAAUUGGUGCUCAAAACAAUUAUAGCUAUUAUAAUGCUUUUGGGAGCAAUUCAAAAGUUUUAAAGUGGACGACGGUGAUGGUUGCACAACUCUGUGAAUAAACAAAAAUCACUGAGCCGUACACUUCAAAUGGGUAAAUUGCAUUGUGUGCAAAUCAAAUCUCAAUAAAGCUGUUAUUAAAAAAUAUGGCUAUUAAAGGAAGUUAUCAUGAUAAAGAUCAAACGAGGUAGCUUUUAGGAAGACAUUUUGUGAAGGUAUAAAAUGCAAGAUAAAUAUGAGAUGUUCUGGGCAUUAUUUUCACCCAUUGACCUGUGUUCAUAGGUAACACUUCACUCAAGCUAAUAUCAGGGUGUCUGCGUCUCCACUCCAUCCUUACCUUGGUUGUGUCAGAGCUGUUUUCUUCAACUUGGUGCCCCCCAUGCUACCAGUGUGUGGCCCAGAGCAGGUGCGGAGGACCCCAUGCACAGGAAGGCAGUGGCUUG